rnacentral:rRNA from 1 species
GAUGAACGCUGGCGGCGUGCCUAAUACAUGCAAGUCGAGCGAACAGACGAGGAGCUUGCUCCUCUGAUGUUAGCGGCGGACGGGUGAGUAACACGUGGAUAACCUACCUAUAAGACUGGGAUAACUUCGGGAAACCGGAGCUAAUACCGGAUAAUAUAUUGAACCGCAUGGUUCAAUAGUGAAAGACGGUCUUGCUGUCACUUAUAGAUGGAUCCGCGCUGCAUUAGCUAGUUGGUAAGGUAACGGCUUACCAAGGCAACGAUGCAUAGCCGACCUGAGAGGGUGAUCGGCCACACUGGAACUGAGACACGGUCCAGACUCCUACGGGAGGCAGCAGUAGGGAAUCUUCCGCAAUGGGCGAAAGCUUGACGGAGCAACGCCGCGUGAGUGAUGAAGGUCUUCGGAUCGUAAAACUCUGUUAUUAGGGAAGAACAUAUGUGUAAGUAACUGUGCACAUCUUGACGGUACCUAAUCAGAAAGCCACGGCUAACUACGUG